AUACACCACACUUAUUACUUUAUUUCUUCUUUUGAAAUCAUUGUUUGAGGGCAUCCUUGAGUAUUAAUCAAUGGCUCUGAUUAGCAGAAGGUGGCUGGGGUUACCGCACUUAGUGACGCAAGUCCCGCUGAAGCUGUGUGCUGUGUUCAGUGGUGCCGCCUUUGAUCUUUUCUGGUGUAAAUAUAUGAUUUAUAUUCGACGUUUAGAAUGUGGAACACAGCUGGUGGCCCCCAGUGCCACCUGGUAGCCCCCAGGUUUACCGUGCUGUGCAUGGAUGUGCUGCUUCUCUGAGAGAACGUGUUUCUUUUUGCAGGGCCUUCUGCGGACAGUGCUUAAGCCAGGGGUUUCCUCACCUUGUUUUAGACUCGGAACCCUUCUAUUACAAUGAAAUCUUAAUCAGAUGUCUAGUAAAGUGAGGAUGACCAUACAGCCAGGCGUGUCUGGGACGGCCCCAGUUGACACCUGUUCCUGGUGUGAUUGUUAACCUGUGUCUAUUCGCGCCCAAGAAGGUCCUGGUUUGGACAGUAAGGAGUGUGCUCACCAGGUGGUGGGCUGUGUCUUGGGAAGAGGUGGCCCAUAACUAACUCCUGGGGAGCAGCUGGAGAGAUGGGCUUCACAGCGACAGGCCCGGGAGCCUGUUGGAAGGAGACGCCCCUGCCUGUGUCUGACUGCGUGUGCCGGGCACUGGGAAGUUGAGUGCCUGGGCUGGCAGCUGGUGCUGAUCUGUGAGACCACUGCCCUCCAGAAAUGAUGGGUGUCGCUGGACCCGGCUGGGACUCUGCCAGGCUCCAGCGCUCAGUCUAAACGAGGGGCCCUCUUCCGGCCCUGCUCUCCCUGCCUGUCAUGGCCACACUUGGCUGCUGCCCACUUGUCUGUGGACAGAGGGCACCCAGCCCCAGCCCUGAGAGGUUAAGCCAGGCCCUCUGGCUCUGUUCCACAGGGGCGCUCUGGGCACCAGUCCCCUUUCAGAGCAAGAGCAACUGAUGCCAUGGGAGAAGCCCCUGCCCACCUGUCCACUUGCCUGGCACUGCCUGCUCUGAGACCCAUGCACUGGGUCCCCCUGAAGGUGCCAACCCUGUGAGCCCCUCCCCUCUCCCCCGACACCGUGAAGGCCCUGCCCACUCCCACCAUGUGUGAGGUGAUGCCCACAAUCAACGAGGGGGACCCCCUGGGGCCCCCCCAUGGUGCCGAUGCUGACGCCAACUUUGAGCAGCUGAUGGUGAACAUGCUGGAUGAGCGGGAGAAGUUGCUGGAGUCCCUUCGGGAGAGUCAGGAGAGCUUGGCGGCCACGCAGAGCCGGCUCCAGGAUGCCCUGCAUGAGCGGGACCAGCUCCAGCGCCACCUUAACUCCGCCCUCCCCCAGGAAUUUGCCACCUUAACCCGGGAGCUGAGCACAUGUCGGGAGCAGCUUCUUGAGCGGGAGGAAGAGAUAUCAGAGCUGAAAGCCGAGCGGAAUAACACAAGGUUGCUUCUGGAACAUCUGGAGUGCCUGGUGUCCCGCCAUGAGCGGUCACUGCGGAUGACUGUGGUAAAGCGUCAGGCCCAGUCACCUUCAGGGGUCUCCAGUGAGGUGGAGGUGCUGAAGGCCCUCAAGUCACUGUUCGAGCACCACAAAGCCCUGGAUGAGAAGGUGCGAGAGCGGCUCCGGGCAGCCCUGGAACGAGUUACGUCCUUGGAAGAGCAGCUGGCAGGUGCCCAUCAGCAGGUGUCUGCCCUGCAGCAGGGGGCAGGGCUGCAGGAUGGAGUGGCAGAAGAGGAGGGGACUGUGGAACUGGGACCAAAGCACCUGUGGAAGGAGGAUGUGGGCCGGGUAGAGGAGCUGCAGGAGCUCCUGGAGAAACAGAACUUUGAGCUGAGCCAGGCCCGGGAGCGACUGGUCACCCUGACAGCAGCCGUGGCUGAACUUGAGGAGGACCUGGGCACCGCCCGCCGGGACCUCAUCAAGUCGGAGGAGCUGAGCGGCAAGCAUCAGCGGGACCUCCGGGAGGCUCUGGCCCAGAAGGAGGACAUGGAGGAGCGGAUCACCACGCUGGAGAAGCGCUACCUGGCUGCUCAGCGUGAGGCCACAUCCAUCCAUGACCUCAAUGACAAACUGGAGAAUGAGCUGGCCAAUAAGGAGUCCCUGCACCGCCAGUGUGAGGAGAAGGCCCGACACCUCCAGGAGCUGCUCGAGGUGGCAGAGCAGAAGCUGCAGCAGACGAUGCGCAAGGCUGAGACGCUGCCAGAGGUGGAGGCUGAGCUGGCCCAGAGGAUUGCAGCCCUCACCAAGGCUGAAGAACGGCAUGGCAAUAUUGAGGAGCACCUGCGGCAGCUGGAGGGCCAGCUGGAGGAGAAGAACCAGGAGCUGGCAAGGGUGCGCCAGCGCGAGAAGAUGAACGAGGACCAUAACAAGCGGCUGUCUGACACCGUGGACCGGCUGCUGAGUGAGUCAAACGAGCGGCUGCAGCUCCACCUCAAGGAGCGCAUGGCGGCCCUGGAGGAAAAGAAUACGCUGAUCCAGGAGCUGGAGAGCUCCCAGCGGCAGAUUGAGGAGCAGCACCAUCACAAGGGCCGCCUAUCCGAAGAGAUUGAGAAGCUGCGCCAAGAGGUGGACCAGCUGAAGGGUCGAGGGGGGCCGUUUGUGGAUGGCGUCCACUCCAGGUCGCACAUGGGCAGCACAGCGGACGUGCGGCUCUCUCUGAGCACAGCCACCCAUGCGCCCCCAGGUCUGCAUCGCCGCUACUCAGCACUACGGGAGGAGUCUGCCAAGGACUGGGAGCCAUCUCCGCUGCCUGGGGUGGUGGCCCCCGCGGCCGCCCCUUCCUUUGACAGUGACCCUGAGAUCUCCGAUGUGGAUGAGGAUGAGCCAAGGGGUCUGGUGGGCUCCAUGGAUGUUGUCUCCCCCAGUGGCCACUCAGAUGCCCAGACGCUGGCCAUGAUGCUGCAGGAGCAGCUGGAUGCAAUCAACGCGGAGAUCAGGAUGAUCCAGGAGGAGAAGGAGUCCACGGAGCUCCGAGCUGAGGAGAUCGAGACGCGGGUGACCAGCGGCAGCAUGGAGGCCCUGAACUUGACCCAGCUGCGUAAACGCGGUUCCAUCCCCACCUCUCUGACCGCCCUGUCCCUGGCCAGCGCAUCCCCUCCCCUCAGUGGCCGCUCCACACCUAAGCUUACCUCCCGCAGUGCUGCCCAGGACCUGGACCGGAUGGGGGUCAUGACCCUGCCCAGUGACUUAAGAAAGCAUAGGAGGAAGCUGCUGUCGCCAGUGUCUCGGGAAGAGAACCGAGAGGAUAAAGCCACCAUAAAAUGUGAGACUUCUCCUCCUUCCUCACCCAGGACGCUGCGGCUGGAGAAGCUUGGCCACCCAGCCCUGAGCCAGGAAGAAGGCAAGAGUGCUCUGGAGGAUCAGGGCAGCAACCCCAGCAGCAGCAGCAGCAGCCAGGACUCCUUGCACAAGGGCGCCAAGCGCAAGGGCAUCAAGUCGUCCAUCGGCCGCCUGUUCGGGAAGAAGGAGAAGGGCCGGCUGAUCCAGCUGAGCCGGGAUGGAGCCACGGGACACGUGCUCCUAACAGACUCCGAGCUCGGUGUUCAGGAGCCUAUGGUGCCUGCCAAGCUGGGGACCCAGGCAGAGAAGGACCGGCGGCUGAAGAAGAAACACCAGCUGCUUGAAGAUGCCCGCAGAAAAGGAACGCCUUUUGCCCAGUGGGAUGGCCCCACUGUGGUCUCCUGGCUGGAGCUCUGGGUGGGGAUGCCUGCCUGGUACGUGGCUGCCUGCCGGGCCAACGUCAAGAGCGGUGCCAUUAUGUCGGCCCUGUCGGACACAGAGAUCCAGCGGGAGAUCGGCAUCAGCAAUGCCCUGCACCGGCUCAAGCUGCGGCUGGCCAUCCAGGAGAUGGUGUCACUGACCAGCCCCUCGGCCCCGCCCACCUCCAGGACUUCUUCUGGGAACGUCUGGGUCACCCAUGAAGAAAUGGAAACUCUGGCCACAUCCAUGAAGACAACGCUGGCCUACGGCGACAUGAACCACGAGUGGAUCGGGAACGAGUGGCUGCCCAGCCUGGGGCUCCCGCAGUACCGCAGCUACUUCAUGGAGUGCCUGGUGGACGCGCGCAUGCUGGACCACCUCACCAAGAAGGACCUGCGCGUCCACCUGAAGAUGGUGGACAGCUUCCACCGAACCAGUCUUCAGUAUGGCAUCAUGUGUCUGAAGAGGCUGAAUUAUGACCGGAAGGAGCUGGAGAAGAGGCGGGAGGAGAGCCAGCGUGAGAUCAAGGAUGUGCUGGUCUGGACCAACGACCAGGUGGUCCACUGGGUCCAGUCUAUUGGGCUUCGGGAGUACGCAGGAAGCCUGCACGAGAGCGGCGUGCAUGGUGCCCUGCUGGCCCUGGACGAGAACUUCGACCAUAACACGCUGGCCCUGCUCCUCCAGAUCCCCACGCAGAACACCCAGGCCCGCCAGGUGAUGGAGAGAGAGUUCAACAACCUGCUGGCCUUGGGCACAGACCGGAAGCUGGACGACCACCUUCCAGCUCUGUCUCUGAACCUACCAACCACGCAGGAUUGGAGGGAGGUUCCCCCGAAAGCCGCCUCUGGGGUCAGAUCUUGUCUUCACCUCUCGGACCCCACUUCAGGGCUGUCAGCACAGCUGUCUCCUGCCUGCCCAUCGGUUCCGUCUUGUAGUAACGUGGCUGUUUGCACAUGGGCAUCAUGCAUUGUUGCUGAAUCGCAUUUGCUCCCCUGGCCCUCAGUGCAGCUGGACGCAGCCCCACACGGCUCAGGCCCUCACCCUCCAGCCUCCUCUCUAGUUCCUCUCCUGUGUCUGCCUUCACACCUAGCUGAGGUUUCCUCCCUCAGCCCCCUGGUCACUGAAGAAACAGUCCCUUCCGCUGGGUUUCGUCCGGCCUUGCCCUUGAGUUCACGCUGCGCUGUGUCCGGGAAGGCCCGACCUCCUGAGCCACGUGCUCACCUUAGAGGCGGGGCUGCAGCCACACUGAGGCCGCAGAAGACGGGUGGAUGGGAGCUGGCUGGUGACCACUCGCAUGGGAGGAGGCUGAGAAGAGGAAUCCUGGGAAGGGCGAGGACAAGGUGUUCCGCCGCGCGCCCUCCUGGAGGAAGCGCUUCCGGCCGCGGGACCCUCCGGGCGGCGAGACGGUCCCCGCGGGCUUCCGCGUGUCCGCGCUCGGGCCGCAGCCCCCGCCGGCGCCGCCCAGGAAGGGGCUGCCCACAGCCGGGACGGCGGGGGCGCCGAGACUGGAGACCUCCACGGUUCGGACCUACUCCUGCUGACCCUCCCGCCCCGGGUCUGGCGGGGUGUGCCCGUGGCUCGGGCUCGCUCCCACUAUCUCUACGGACACAUGCUCUCCGCCUUCCGAGACUAGCGGGCCGGCCGCCUCCUGCUCCGGCCCUUCCUCCUGCGGCUCCCAGCUCGUCUGACUUUCCGCUUGCCCUGGAUCUCAGAAUAUAGUCGCCCCCCACAUCCCCCGCUCAGAGUCCCUCGUGUGUCCUCUGUCUGUCCGUCAUGGAUGUCUGGGUCUCCUGGUGGUGUGCAGGCACCCAGGUGGUCCCUGCUUGGGAUUCUGCGGGAGGAAGAGGACAGCAGCCCAAGGGGGCUGUGACGCACUCUCCCUCCUCCGGACGUAGCUGGUCCUCCACCCGACACUGGCCCACGGGCUGGGGAUGACGGCCCUUCCGAGAAAGGCACUGCAGACUCCGCCUGGCUUGGGCUGUUCCGCCUUCUGGUCCCUGUCCACCUACGGGCUGUGCCAGAUGGUCUGACGCCUGGUUUUGGUGUCCCAGUGUUGUUCCUCCACAGCUCAUCUCCACACCUACAGGCUUGCUUCCAGGCCCACCUUGGGGGCUGGGUGGGCUGCAGAAGGCCCCUGCUCCCUCAGAGCACUGCGGCUGGGGCAGAGAUUCCAGGCCCCAGCUUAAGCUGAAUCCAAACAUGAGUUUGGGAAGAAUCUGAGCUUUGGGCCAAGUGUGCGGUGGGAAGCUCUCAGCUGUCCUGCCCAGUGAGAAGUGCAGACAGGCCGGCUGGAGGGGGCGUCAGUGGUCUGUGGUGGCCUUAAGUCCAAAGGGCAGUGGGAAUGCCUCCUGCCCCAGCCGUGGGGUGGAGCUGCUGCCAGGCUGGGGCCGGGGGAUUGUGAGGAUCUUGGCUCGGGGGCACUGCUGACUGUGUUCCUGCCAACCCUUCCCCUGCUAUCCCCUUCUGCUCCACUUCUUUAGUGGCCCCAGCCCCAUAAGAAUAUACCUGAUGGCUGGAUGGAGUGUGCGUUGACCUUAGAUUCAGGUUUGGGAAGAAGGCAGUCUGAGGCUUCCUUUCCCUCAUCUCCUGGAAGAAAAUAAAGCUCCCUGUGUGUGAAUCAUGUCCAGCUCCAGAAAACCCAGUGUUGGUGACAGCUGUCACUCCUGCUCGUCCUGUCACCCACCCCAUGUCCAGGCUCCCCCGGUGUGCGGAGACUUCCUCCUCCAGAAACCCCAGGCCCCGUGGCUUCCCGCUUCAGCUGCUUCCCCAGCAGUGUGGUCGCAGCCUGGGCUGAGGGACGCAGGUCCUGUUCGGCAGGAGGGGCAUUCCCAAGAACCCCUCUUCCUCACCCCCUUCCUCCCCCUGCCGAGGUGCCUAGGCAUGUUUGGGACCCCAGUUCGGGGUGCGUUGAUGGAACCCAGGGCUCUGUCCAAGUGAGAGGAGAGGAGCAGGGUCUGGAGCACGUUUCUUGGAGGGGGGCCAGUGCCGUGCCAUCCUUCAGGCAGCUGAGCAGCUGGUUUGCAACCAAGUAGACUGGGGUUCUGAGUGGGGGUGAGGCUAGCAGGUGGGAGGAUGGGUCAGAGCCUCCUGUCCAGAGGAGCGCUGGGGCCUGGGCAGGGCUGGGGCUCGGAGCCUUCUGCUCGUUUGCAGUAGAGGAGAGGUCCACUGGUGGGGGUGCUGAGUAGGCACCCCUGGGUGUGGGCGAGGCAGCCACCUGCCCUUGCUCUCCCUCGUUGGUCUCUGCCCCCCAGUCAGGCCGCUGCAAGUGGGGCCGCAGCGGUUCUUUAGCAGCAGGUGAGCUGGACGGAGAAAGAGCCCUGUCCCUGGGUAUGGAUGUUAAGAGUCUGGAGCAACCCCAGAUUCUUAAGAUUGGUGGAGUUGGGGACCACAGGCCAUCUAACUCCUUCAAGGGACUCCAUGGGCUAGCUCAGUGGGAGAGUCAGCCCCGCCUCUCCUCUGCAACUUCACCUUGUCACGGUUGGUCAUGUCCUAAGGCAGGGACCUGGGUUCGUUCAGGACAUCUUGGGAUGUGAUGGAGAAGAGAAACCUGUGCACGUCGGGAUGGAAGGCUGUUUGGUGUAGCUCUGACCUCACAGUCAGUAUAUUUUUUAUUUGGAGAGUCACCAGUGAGCCAAGCCCCCGUCAUCAGCUUCCUGUACCUUGUCAGGCCCCUUCUCAGUCCUGUACUGGCUCAGCGCAUCAGAAAUGGAUGUGCAGGCUGACAGCGUCCCGCACACUGACGGUACAGGAUGGCCUCACCCACGACCAUGAUGACAGGAGAGGAGCAAGACAAAGCCACCUGUGGCCCAGGGAGGCCACACAG